GCAUGUGGCUGUACCACUGAAAGCACAGCUGGGCCUCUGAUCUCGGAAGCUUUUAGGGUGGGCCUGUCUAGUACUUGGCUGGGAACCUGCUUGGAAAUACUGAAUGCUAUCCC
rnacentral:rRNA from 1 species